rnacentral:snRNA from 1 species
GUGCUCACUUCGGCAGCACAUAAACUAAAAUUGGAACAAUACAGAGAAAAUUAGCAUGGCACCUGCACAAGGAUGACACGCAAAUUCGUGAAACAUUCCAUAUUUUU